rnacentral:rRNA from 1 species
GAAUAUUGGACAAUGGGGGGAACCCUGAUCCAGCCAUGCCGCGUGUGUGAAGAAGGCCUUUUGGUUGUAAAGCACUUUAAGCGAGGAGGAGGCUACUCUAGUUAAUACCAAGAGAUAGUGAACGUGAUCCGCAGAAUAAGCACCGGCCAACUCUCUGACCGCAGCCGCGGUAAUACAGAGGGUGCAAGCGUUAAUCGGAUUUACUGGGCGUAAAGCGCGCGUAGGUGGCCAAUUAAGUCAAAUGUGAAAUCCCCGAGCUUAACUUGGGAAUUGCAUUCGAUACUGGUUGGCUAGAGUAUGGGAGAGGAUGGUAGAAUUCCAGGUGUAGCGGUGAAAUGCGUAGAGAUCUGGAGGAAUACCGAUGGCGAAGGCAGCCAUCUGGCCUAAUACUGACACUGAGGUGCGAAAGCAUGGGGAGCAAAC